CGGAGCGUGGCUAAGGAGUAAAGCGCUUCCCUUACACCGAAGAGACGCCCGUGCGACCCGGGCCGCCCCGA
rnacentral:tRNA from 1 species